rnacentral:rRNA from 1 species
CCUACGGGUGGCAGCAGUGAGGAAUAUUGGUCAAUGGACGAGAGUCUGAACCAGCCAAGUAGCGUGAAGGAUGACUGCCCUAUGGGUUGUAAACUUCUUUUAUAUGGGAAUAAAAUGUUCCACGUGUGGGAUUUUGUAUGUACCAUAUGAAUAAGGAUCGGCUAACUCCGUGCCAGCAGCAGCGGUAAUACGGAGGAUCCGAGCGUUAUCCGGAUUUAUUGGGUGUAAAGGGGGCGUAGGUGGAUUGUUAAGUCAGUUGGGAAAGUUUGCGGCUCAACCGUAAAAUUGCAGUUGAAACGGGCAGUCUUGAGUACAGUAGAGGUGGGCGGAAUUCGUGGUGUAGCGGUGAAAUGCUUAGAUAUCACGAAGAACUCCGAUUGCGAAGGCAGCUCACUGGACUGCAACUGACACUGAGGCUCGAAAGUGUGGGUAUCAAACAGGAUUAGAUACCCUAGUAGUC